UCCGCAUUCUUCAUACUGCGAAGUGAGAACACCCGGAUGUCCGUUACCCCUAAAGGCCCUAAUUAGUAGGAAAAAUCUAUUGGAGUCCGUAAUCCGGACUCUCCAAUAACGUCAAUUGUUGUUAUGGAUGUUUCUACUUUCUACUUCUGUUUAGAAGGCUGAGGGAUAGAGUUUCAGUGACAUGAAGAGUGUGAAGUGAAUAAUCUGCAAUGUGUAUGUUCAUGUACCAGAUCUGUACAUGAGUACAGAAAAAUAAUAGGAAACAAUUUUAUUUUUUAAAUCCAUACAGCCAAUAAUCAUGUUAUGAAAUACUAUUUUAUAUAGGCCACUAUUUUGCGAAACCUAGUAGAAAUACGAGAAUGGUCAAGUCUACACAUGUGCCUUCUCAUGAUUUGGCCAAGCUGAAGGCCUUAAAACCAAUGCUACAUUAGAUGAAUUUGUGAGUGAUUAAUUGUGAUGCCACUGACGUCAUUCUCACCCCAUUAUUGCAUCGUGUUUGCUGUUCUGUUUACCCUAUUCCCAGUUUUUAUAGUGGAAUAAAAAUGUGCCAGAUAAGGAUCUUUUCUGAAUCUGGCAAUUUUGGUGGUAUACCCUGCAAUAGCAUGUUUGUUGUUAUGGCAUGGCUGUUUUUACUUCUGUUUAGAAAGCAAACCAGCUAAGAUAUAGAGUUUCAGAGACAUGAAGAGUGUGAAGUGAAUAACCUGCCAUGUGUAUGUACAUGUACCAUAUCUGUACAUGAAAACAUAUGUAAUAGGAAAAUCUGCAAACACUAAGGUUAUGAAUUUAGUUCUUGUGGUCAAUGGAUGGCGCUUGUUGCCGCUACUGGUCUUUUACGACGUCUUGAAAUCAGUUUGGAAAAAUAGUUGGAAUAUGGGGAAUCCUCACUCAUUAUCGAAGUAACUUUGCAGUCAACAUGUGUGAGAAGUUUUAGAUUCGUUACAUUUUUUGCAUAUCUUCGUUGUGUUUUUUGCAUGCAAGUAAAUCUGCAGAUAGGUUGGCCAGUUUGUCCAGAUAGGAUGUCCUUCUCGCUUGAAGGUCGCGGGAAACAUUACGUGUAAAACUAUCAAUGCGGUGGUGUAGAGGUUGGGUGAGAAUAACACGUGUUUCGUCUUUAUCAAAGCAGGGUCAAUAGCCGCAAGGGUAAGCUAUUUGGUAUUCAUUUUGAUUUUUGUAGACCCAUCCCCAGCAACGUCAACCUAAAGAAGGAAAGGCGAGUUUGCAUUUCCUUCACUCUCGAAGGUCACGGAGAUCAUUACGUAAAACUGGCAUGCGGUGGUGUAGAGGUUGGGUCAGAAUGACACGUGUUUCGUCAUUAUCAAAGCAGACCCAUCCCCAGCAACGUCACCUGCAAAAGGAAAGGCCAG